CAAUAGCGUAUAUUAAAGCUGUUGCGGUUAAAAAGCUCGUAGUUGGAUUUCUGUCAAGGACAACUGGUCCGCCCUCCGGGUGAGCACAUAGUUUGGUCUUGGCAUCUUGCUGGAAGCUGUUGCUGCACUUGGCUGUGUGGCGCAGCGUCCAGCACCUUCACUUUGAGGAAAUUGGAGUGUUUCAAGCAGGCACAUGCCUUUGGACACAGUAGCAUGGAAUAAUUAGAUUGGGCUUUUGCUCCAAUUUGUCGGUUUCUGGAGCUGAGGUGAGAAUUAAUGGGGAUUGUUGGGGGCAUCCGAAUAUAGCCGUCAGAGGUGAAAUUCUUGGAUCUGCUAAAGACGGACAACUGCGAAAGCGUUUGCCCAGGAUGUUUUCAUUGA
rnacentral:rRNA from 1 species